rnacentral:rRNA from 1 species
UCCUUAGAGUUUGAUCCUGGCUCAGGAUGAACGCUGGCGGCGUGCCUAAUACAUGCAAGUCGAACGAGGUGCUUUUGUAGCAAUACGAGAGUAUCCUAGUGGCGAACGGGUGAGUAACGCGUUGGUGACCUACCCCAAAGUGUGGGAUAACAGUCCGAAAGGACUGCUAAUACCGCAUGUGGUCAUUGGCUUUAGAAACCGGUGACUAAAGGAGCAAUUCGCUUUGGGAGGGACCUGCGUCCCAUCAGCUAGUUGGUGAGGUAAUGGCUCACCAAGGCGACGACGGGUAGGGGACCUGAGAGGGUGGCCCCCCACAAUGGAACUGAAACACGGUCCAUACACCUACGGGUGGCAGCAGUAGGGAAUAUUGCUCAAUGGGCGAAAGCCUGAAGCAGCAACGCCGCGUGCGUGAUGAAGGUCUUCGGAUCGUAAAGCGCUUUUCUGGGAGAUGAGAAAGGACAGUAUCCCAGGAAUAAGUCUCGGCUAACUACGUGCCAGCAGCCGCGGUAAAACGUAGGAGGCAAGCGUUAUCCGGAUUCACUGGGCGUAAAGCGCGUGCAGGUGGCGCGGUAAGUUGGGCGUGAAAUCUCCCGGCUCAACUGGGAGAGGUCGUUCAAUACUACCGUACUCGAGAGCAGAAGAGGAAGAUGGAAUUCCCGGUGUAGUGGUGAAAUGCGUAGAUAUCGGGAGGAACACCAGUGGCGAAGGCGAUCUUCUGGUCUGUUUCUGACACUCAGACGCGACAGCUAGGGUAGUAAACGGGAUUAGAGACCCCGGUAAUCCUAGCCGUAAACGAUGUGAACUUGGCGUUGGUGGGUUAAACUCCAUCAGUGCCGCAGCAAACGCGAUAAGUUCACCGCCUGGGGACUACGGCCGCAAGGUUAAAACUCAAAGGAAUUGACGG